rnacentral:rRNA from 1 species
AGGAUUAACGCUGGCGGCGUGCAUGAAACAUGCAAGUCGAGCGCGGUGUGAUGCGGGGUAACCCAAUUCACAUCUAGCGGCGAACGGGUGAGUAACACGUGAGCAACCUACCUUUGAGUUGGGGAUAGCCCUGGGAAACCAGGAUUAAUACCCGAUGUGGUCACAACAGGACAUCCUGAUGUGAGUAAAGGCGUAAGCCGCUCAAUGACGGGCUCGCGGCCUAUUAGCUUGUUGGUGGGGUAACGGCCUACCAAGGCGAUGAUGGGUAGCUGGUCUGAGAGGACGAUCAGCCACACUGGGACUGAGACACGGCCCAGACUCCUACGGGAGGCAGCAGUGGGGAAUAUUGGACAAUGGGCGCAAGCCUGAUCCAGCCAUGCCGCGUGGAUGAUGAAGGCCUUAGGGUUGUAAAGUCCUUUAACGGGGAAGAUAAUGACGGUACCGUAGAAUAAGCCCGGCUAACUUCGUGCCAGCAGCCGC